UACGGGGGGGGCAAGCGUUGUUCGGAAUUACUGGGCGUAAAGGGCGCGUAGGCGGCCACCGCAAGUCAGUUGUGAAAUCUCUGGGCUUAACCCAGAAAGGUCAACUGAUACUGCGGGGCUAGAGUGCAGAAGGGGCAACUGGAAUUCUCGGUGUAGCGGUGAAAUGCGUAGAUAUCGGGAGGAACACCAGUGGCGAAGGCGCGUUUCUGGGCUGCAUCUGACGCUGAGGCGCGAAAGCUAGGGGAGCAAACAGG
rnacentral:rRNA from 1 species